AGGUGUGAUCAUUUCAGCACUUAUGUAUCGAAUUCCAUAAGAACUCUGAAGUUAAGCUUGCUUGGGCGAGAAUGGUACUAAGACGAGCUUUGUCGCCGGACCCC
rnacentral:rRNA from 1 species